UGGGAGUUCCCUUCAAGCUUCCAUAACUCUCUCAAGUUAGCCUCAAUUUUCAUGCUUUUGUGCACCUUUUCACAAAGUCCUUUGUGCUCUGUUACUCUUCCACCUUAAAACCCUCCAAAGUCUUACCUUAAUACUUUCUCUCACCAGCUAGGUGUUUUAGAGAGAGAAGGAAAGAAAGGUGGAAGGCUUGGGUAGUGAGUGAUUCAAGAGUAAUUGAAUAAAUAUCAAGUGGGUGUCAAGAUUCAAGAAACAUAAGGAAGUACAAAAGUAAAGAUAGUGUAUGGUGGUGGCGUGCCGGAGGAAAUAACGAGCGACCGGCAAGUAGAAAUAGCUAGAUACGCCUUUGAACUAAUAGCGAUGUAACAUCCCGCUAUUGUAAGGUUCUUUGAGUUAAAGGUGACUAGAUCCUAGGAUGAAGUGCUCCUCUCUAUCCAUUGCUCGGUAGGUUUGUCAUGAUACUAAAUGUUAGCACCCACGCCCAGAGUCACUUCGUUAACAGUCAGAGUCUUUGAAUGUGUACAUGUAAACUGGAUGUAACUUGUUAAGAAUUGUUUGGCAAACUAUUUAUAUAUA